UGUGUAGGCGGUUGCUUAAGUUUGGUGUGAAAUCUCCCGGCUCAACCGGGAGGGUGCGCCGAAUACUGAGUGACUCGAGUGCGGGAGAGGAAAGUGGAAUUCCAGGUGUAGCGGUGAAAUGCGUAGAUAUCUGGAGGAACACCGGUGGUGUAGACGGCUUUCUGGACCGUAACUGACGCUGAGACACGAAAGCGUGGGUAGCAAACAGGAUUAGAUACCCUGGUAGUCCACGCCCUAAACGAUGCAUAUUUGGUGUGGGUCAUUCAGUUGAUCCGUGCCGGAGCUAACGCGUUAAAUAUGCCGCCUGGGGAGUACAGUCGCAAGGCUGAA
rnacentral:rRNA from 1 species